UCGGCGUCAGCUACAGGGGCACCGCGCACGAGCUCAAGGGCACGGUCAACGACGUGAAGGAGAUGAGGCGCCUCCUCUGCGGCAAGUUUGGGUUCCCCGGCGACUGCAUCCUGGAGCUCACUGGUGCUCCGUCCUGUUCCUUGCAGACUCAAAUUAUACGAAGGUUCGAUAAGCUAGGGAACUAAUCAGUUGCUGUCAUGGUUGUGUGGCAGAGAACGAGAGGGACCCGAGCAGGGUGCCGACGAGGGAGAACCUGCUGCGGGCGAUGCGGUGGCUCGUGGACGGCUGCAGCAGCGGCGACUCGCUGGUGUUCCACUUCUCCGGGCACGGCGUACAGAAGCUGGACAUGAACGACGACGAGGUGGACGGGUACAACGAGGCGCUGUGCCCGGUGGACUU
rnacentral:lncRNA from 1 species